rnacentral:lncRNA from 1 species
GAAUGAUGUAGCGGAUAUGAUGAAAAUGCUAGAGGAUGAAUCAGAUGAUGAAAAUAUUUUUGAAGAUUCAGAUGAAAGCGACGAUAGCGUGACUGAAGAUAACAUGGAAGCAUGCAUUGAGAGUUCUGAAUCAGAACAAAACGAUGAAGAAUUCAGCGAUGACAACAGCACAGAUAACGCUUCAUAUUUUCUCGGAAAAGACAAGUCCAGUAAAUGGUAUCGAGAUAUUCCCAACAAGAAAAAUCGCUCCGUGCCUCAUAAUUUGUUGAAGCAGUUUCCAGGUGUUAUGGGCCCCGCAAAGUUAUCAAAAUCUCCAGUUGACUGUUGGAAAUACUUAUUCACUGGAGAUAUUCUGGAUAUAAUUGUAAAAUAUACUAACCAAUAUAUAAAUAUUAUCAAAAAUAAAUAAGGACGUGAACGAGACGCCAAACUUACUGAUGACAUUGAAAUAAAUGCGUUCAUAGGUAUAUCAUAUUUGGCUGGAGCUUAUAG